GGAAAAGCAUCACAUUUAUUUGACCUUUAUGGAUUUUUAAAAUUUUAUUUUACUUUUGCGCUUCACCUCGCUCAGGUGCUCGUCUGUGCCGCGCGCCUAGGCUCCAGGACCCCUUGUAGCCUUAGUGCUCCUAGAGCUUUUAAUAACUAUGCCAAUGUAAUCAUCACAAGUAAAAUGGCAAAGUAACAGUUCUACACACUAAGCACCAAAAGCAAAGGGGCAUCAAAUAAGGAAACUUGCACAAGCUUUCCCAAGAUAACUGAAUUCAACCCAAACACAGGACUGACAUCAGUGCAUGUCUAUAAGGCAAUACAUGAGAGCGUGUGUAUGUGCAGGUGUUGGUAUUUGUUGUGUUUUGCGUAUGUACAGGUGUUGGUAUCUGUUGUGUUUGGCAUAUGUGUGGGUGUCGUAUCCGUUGUUUCGUGUAUGUGCGGCUGUCAUAUCUGUUGUGUUUCGUGAAUGUAUCCACAAAUAGAUUACAAGCAGACAAGUACAAAGUAAGCCAUAUUUAUUUGUUCCUUAUGGAAUUACUACGAAGGACUUGGCACCAAUUGAAAAUGUUUAUAUAGAUAAAACAUUAAUCAUGAGUAGAAUAUGGAACAACAGACAACAGAUAAGUCAUUUGAAGAGGUUCUAAUUCAGUCAAUCCUAUAUGGAAAUAACAAGCAAAAGCAAAACGGAUAGUA
rnacentral:misc_RNA from 1 species